UCCAACUACCAACCGGUUCAAAAACGAAUUAAAUAGCAAUAAUUCUCGCCGUUAGGCCACCACAGCAAUCAAAUCUACCCUACCAUGAAAUAGUACUAGUUUUCAUGGAAAUAUCAAAAUUCAAAUGUUGGAAAUUUGAUUGAAUCAAACGGCUUCGAGAUGGUCACAUUAUGUGGGUGUUGACUUAUUUGUUCAUCCUGUUUCUGAAAUCUUCUAAGGGUUCGACGACUUCAAACGUGAUAUUGAUGGGUUGAACUGUUGCCUUAAUCUUUUUCCCAUUCAUUUCUUUAACUUUAACCUUUGAAUGGAUAUAUAUGAAUGCAUUCAUCUUUAUCCAAUUCCACGCGGCAUGGAUUUUGGGAAUCUUAAUUUAUUACGACUAACCCCUUUUUAUAAGGUUUGUCUUUGGAAAGGGAAGAUGCAACAUGUGAC
rnacentral:lncRNA from 1 species